UGUAAAUAGUGUCCAGGCGGGAUUUCUGGAAAACGGCAAAAUGCCUGGGAAAACCCAGAUGUAUGGCAACGGGGCUGUUUUUGUGUUGAAAAUACUAAUAAUAAUAGUAAUAAAGCUCAAAAACUUUUGUCUGGAUCUUCACUUUUUGAAAUAUGGCAACCCCAUUACAUGCACAAAAAUAUAGUGGUACCUUGGGUUAUGAACUUAAGGUAAUUCAUUCCGGAGGUCCGUUCUUAACUCAAAACUGUUCUUAACCUGAGGCGCGCUUUCGCUAAUGGGGCCUCCUGCUGCCACUGCACAAUUUACGUUCUCAUCCUGGGGCAAAGUUCUCAACCCAAGGUACUACUUCCGGGUUAGCAGAGUUUGUAACCCGAAGUGUUUGUAACCUGAAGCGUUUGUAACCCAAGGUACCACUGUAACUAACUAGCUAGCUAACUAACACACUUCCCCCUAGCAGGUACAUUUUUGGGCACAUUACUUGGUAUUUUGCAGUGCAGUUCUGCAGCCAAGAAGUGCAAAUUACUAACAAUAGGUGGUGUUUUGGUCCAUGUAUUGCUUCAAAAAGUGCAAAUUACGUAAGUUUGCCUUUUAAUGCAAACUGAAUUGACUUCCUCUCCCAUCUCUACUCUAGAUACAAGGAGAAAGAUCCUAACCCCCCUGAGGAAGAGGAAACUCCUUGCAUUGAGGAGUUAUUACAGCCAAAUCAAUAAACAGA